UACGUAUGGUGCGGGCGUUAUCCGGAUUUACUGGGUGUAAAGGGAGCGCAGGCGGCGCGGCAAGUCCGAUGUGAAAACCCCCGGCUCAACCGGGGGACUGCAUUGGAAACUACCGGGCUGGAGUGCCGGAGAGGUAGGCGGAAUUCCUGGUGUAGCGGUGAAAUGCGUAGAUAUCAGGAGGAACACCAGUGGCGAAGGCGGCCUACUGGACGGUGACUGACGCUGAGGCUCGAAAGCGUGGGGAGCAAACAGG
rnacentral:rRNA from 1 species